rnacentral:rRNA from 1 species
GACGAAGGGUGCAAACGUUGCUCGGAAUUAUUGGGCGUAAAGCGCACGUAGGCGGCAUAGCAAGUCGGAUGUGAAAUCCCUCGGCUCAACCAAGGAAGUGCAUCCGAAACUGCUGUGCUUGAGUACGAAAGAGGAUCGCGGAAUUCCCGGUGUAGAGGUGAAAUUCGUAGAUAUCGGGAGGAACACCAGUGGCGAAGGCGGCGAUCUGGGUCGAUACUGACGCUGAGGUGCGAAAGCGUGGGGAGCGAACAGG